CCUACGGGAGGCAGCAGUAGGGAAUUUUCGUCAAUGGGCGCAAGCCUGAACGAGCGAUGCCGCGUGAGUGAAGAAGGCCUUCGGGUCAUAAAGCUCUGUUGCGGGGGAAGAAAGGCAGCAUCAGGCAAUGGGUGCUGACUGAUGGUGCCCCGCCAGAAAGUCACGGCUAACUACGUGCCAGCAGCCGCGGUAAUACGUAGGUGGCGAGCGUUAUUCGGAAUGGUUGGGCGUAAAGGGUGCGCAGGCGGUCCUGCAAGUCUGCAGUGAAAUGCAUGAGCUCAACUCAUGCAUGGCUUUGGAAACUGGAGGGCUGGAGAGCAGGAGAGGGCGGUGGAACUCCAGGUGUAGCGGUGAAAUGCGUAGAUAUAAGGAAGAACACCAGUGGCGAAGGCGGCUGCCUGGCCUGUUGCUGACGCUGAGGCACGAAAGCGUGGGGAGCAAAUAGGAUUAGAUACCCCAGUAGUC
rnacentral:rRNA from 1 species